rnacentral:rRNA from 1 species
GAUGAACGCUGGCGGCGUGCCUAAUACAUGCAAGUAGAACGCUGAAGGAGGAGCUUGCUCUUCUGGAUGAGUUGCGAACGGGUGAGUAACGAGUAGGUAACCUGCCUGGUAGCGGGGGAUAACUAUUGGAAACGAUAGCUAAUACUGCAUGACAACAGUUAUUGCAUGAUAACUGUUUAAAAGGGGCAACUGCUCCACUACCAGAUGGACCUGCGUUUUAUUAGCUAGUUGGUGAGGUAACGGCUCACCAAGGCGACGUUACAUAGCCGACCAGAGCGGGUGAUCGGCCACACUGGGAAUGUGACACGGCCCAGACUCCUACGGGAGGCAGCAGUAGGGAAUCUUCGGCAAUAGACGGAAGUCUGACCGAGCAACGCCGCGUGAGUGAAGAAGGUUGUCGGAUCGUAAAGCUCUGUUGUAAGAGAAGAACGAGUGUCAGAGUGGAAAGUUCACACUGUGACGGUAUCUUACCAGAAAGGGACGGCUAACUACGUG